GACGAACGCUGGCGGCGUGCCUAAUACAUGCAAGUCGAACGCAGUGGGGACGGGUGAGUAACACGUGGGUAACCUCCCAUCAGAGGGGAUAACCCUUGGAAACAGGUGCUAAACCGAUACUGAUGGAUGGAGCAGCGUGGCAUUAGCUAGUUGGUGAGGUAACGGCGAACCAAGGCCACGAUUCCUAGGCGAGCGGAGAGGGUGAUCGGCCACACUGGGACUGAGACACGGCCCAGACUCCUACGGGAGGCAGCAGUAGGGAAUCUUCGGAAAUGGACGAAAGUCUGACCGAGCAAAGCCGCGGGAGUGAAGAAGGGUUUCGGAUCGUAAAACUCUGUUGUUAGGGAAGCGGUAUCUAACCAGAAAGCAACGGCUAACUACGUGCCAGCAGCCGCGGUAAUAC
rnacentral:rRNA from 1 species